rnacentral:rRNA from 1 species
UUCAAACUAGGGAUAGAUACCCUACUAUGCCUAGCCUUAAACUUUGAUAGUAAGACCUACUAUCCGCCAGAGAAUUACGAGCGAAAAGCUUAAAACUCAAAAGACUUGACGGUGCCCCAAACCAACCUAGAGGAGCCUGUCCUAUAAUCGAUGACCCGCGCUUUACCCCACCUGCCCUCGCACAAAUCAGCCAGCCUAUAUACCGCCGCCUUCCAGCCUACCUUACAAAAGUAACACAGCAAGCAAAAUAGCCCCUCCGCUAAAACGUCAGGUCAAGGUGUAGCUAAUGGGCAGGAAAGAGAUGGGCUACAUUCUCUACGCACAUAGACCACCACCCCCGGUAUCAUGAAAACAUACCUCAAAGGAGGAUUUAGUAGUAAUUUAGGCAAGACUUCCUAAAUGAAUCCUGCUCUGGGGCGCGUACACACCGCCC